UACGUAGGGUGCAAGCGUUGUCCGGAAUUAUUGGGCGUAAAGAGCUCGUAGGCGGUCUGUCGCGUCUGCUGUGAAAAUCCAGGGCUCAACCCUGGACCUGCAGUGGGUACGGGCAGACUAGAGUGCGGUAGGGGAGAUCGGAAUUCCUGGUGUAGCGGUGAAAUGCGCAGAUAUCAGGAGGAACACCGGUGGCGAAGGCGGAUCUCUGGGCCUUACCUGACGCUCAGGUGCGAAAGCUAGGGGAGCGAACAGG
rnacentral:rRNA from 1 species